UAGAGGGACUAUGGGUAUCAAACCCAUGGAAGUUUGAGGCAACAACAGGUCUGUGAUGCCCUUAGACGUUCUGGGCCGCACGCGCGCUACACUGACGGAGCCAGCAAGUACAACCUUGGUCGAGAGGCCCGGGUAAUCUCGUGAAACUCCGUCGUGCUGGGGAUAGAGCAUUGUAAUUAUUGCUCUUCAACGAGGAAUUCCUAGUAAGCGCAAGUCAUCAGCUUGCGUUGAUUACGUCCCUGCCCUUUGUACACACCGCCCGUCGCUACUACCGAUUG
rnacentral:rRNA from 1 species